GAUGAACGCUGGCGGCGUGCUUAACACAUGCAAGUCGAACGGUGAAGGCGGAGCUUGCUCUGCUGGAUCAGUGGCGAACGGGUGAGUAACACGUGAGCAAUCUGCCCCUGACUCUGGGAUAAGCGCUGGAAACGGCGUCUAAUACUGGAUACGAGCUGCGAAGGCAUCUUCAGCAGCUGGAAAGAACUUCGGUAAGGGAUGAGCUCGCGGCCUAUCAGCUUGUUGGUGAGGUAACGGCUCACCAAGGCGUCGACGGGUAGCCGGCCUGAGAGGGUGACCGGCCACACUGGGACUGAGACACGGCCCAGACUCCUACGGGAGGCAGCAGUGGGGAAUAUUGCACAAUGGGCGAAAGCCUGAUGCAGCAACGCCGCGUGAGGGACGACGGCCUUCGGGUGGUAAACCUCUUUUAGCAGGGAAGAAGCGAAAGUGACGGUACCUGCAGAAAAAGCGCCGGCUAACUACGU
rnacentral:rRNA from 1 species